rnacentral:rRNA from 1 species
AACGAACGCUGGCGGCAUGCCUAACACAUGCAAGUCGAACGAGACCUUCGGGUCUAGUGGCGCACGGGUGCGUAACGCGUGGGAACCUGCCCUUAGGUUCGGAAUAACUCCCCGAAAGGGGUGCUAAUACCGGAUAAUGUCUUCGGACCAAAGAUUUAUCGCCUUUGGAUGGGCCCGCGUUGGAUUAGCUAGUUGGUAGGGUAAAAGCCUACCAAGGCGACGAUCCAUAGCUGGUCUGAGUGGAUGAUCAGCCACACUGGGACUGAGGCACGGCCCAGACUCCUACGGGAGGCAGCAGUGGGGAAUAUUGGACAAUGGGCGAAAGCCUGAUCCAGCAAUGCCGCGUGAGUGAUGAAGGCCUUAGGGUUGUAAAGCUCUUUUACCCGGGAUGAUAAUGACAGUACCGGGAGAAUAAGCUCCGGCUAACUCCGUG